AAUAGCAGGGAAAAGGAAGCCAUGAGUAUCUCAGAAUGGUGGGUGUGGGAACAUGAAGGAAAGCCUAGACUUUCUUGGCCAAAUUUAGGAGCCAAGGUGUUCUUGUGUUUUCCUGAUGCCUCCCAUGCCUAUUGUUCUUAGGUAUUCCUUCCUUUUCCUAUUGGCU
rnacentral:pre_miRNA from 2 species